GACCCAACUUCAAAAACACGUAUUCCAGAAACAUAAAGUGUGGCUCAGGGAACAAAACAAAAUAAACUAAAAAAAGCAACAUUAUAAACUGAUAUUUAAUAUUAAGUUGAAGCACAUAAGUAACACUUUAAAGUAGAAAGAGUAAAUGUUCCUAGAUCCGCCCUUGAGAAAGAGGAUAUGAUGAACUGACAACAGCUGUAAUCUUCUCAGCAUACUUAUACUGUGCCUUGAACAGCAUC
rnacentral:lncRNA from 1 species